rnacentral:rRNA from 1 species
AACGAACGCUGGCGGCAGGCUUAACACAUGCAAGUCGAGCGCCCCGCAAGGGGAGCGGCAGACGGGUGAGUAACGCGUGGGAACAUGCCCAAAGGUACGGAACAACUCCGGGAAACUGGAGCUAAUACCGUAUGUGCCCUUCGGGGGAAAGAUUUAUCGCCUUUGGAUUGGCCCGCGUCUGAUUAGCUAGUUGGUGGGGUAACGGCCUACCAAGGCGACGAUCAGUAGCUGGUCUGAGAGGAUGAUCAGCCACACUGGGACUGAGACACGGCCCGGACCCCGUCGGGAGGCAGCAGUGGGGAAUAUUGGACAAUGGGCGCAAGCCUGAUCCAGCCAUGCCGCGUGAGUGAUGAAGGCCUUAGGGUUGUAAAGCUCUUUCGCCAGGGACGAUAAUGACGGUACCUGGAUAAGAAGCCCCGGCUAACUUCGUGCCAGCCGCCGCCGUAAUAC